rnacentral:rRNA from 1 species
AUGACCAACACUUGUUCUCAAACAAUGAUCAUUCCAGCAAUCACAACCAUGACCAACACUUGGUCUCAAACAGUGAUCAUUCUAGUGAUCACAACCAUGACCAACACUUGGUCUCAAACAGUGAUCAUUCCGGCUAUCACAACCAUGACCAACACUUGGUCUCAAACAAUGAUCAUUCCGGCGAUCACAACCAACUUAACUCCUCAUCGAACCGGUGUUGUCAUUAAUCAAGUUAUUAUUAAUACUGUUGACUCACGGUGGGACCGACACGAACUGGGCCCUUAUCCGCGGGCGCGGCUAUCGAUAGAUUUAAUAUACACUAUGCAGAGGUAG